GUUCGGGGCAUCCCUCGGGCAGUUAACCGCACUUCCGCUGGCUGGGUAUCCGCGGCAAGUUCAGAUCAUUAGUUGGCUGGAGUUAAUUAACCACCAGACAAUUAGCUUAUCUUUUUCCCGAUCCUAAGACCAGCUGGAUUGCUCUUCUGGGCCUUGGUUUCUUUAGCAAACACUGACGCCUGCUUCUCCGGCUCGCCCCCGCGCCCCACUCCCCCCACCGCUUUUUAAAUGUUUAUUAUUUUUUUAAUCAUGGUUUUAUUAGGUUGGUGCAAAAGUAACUGCGGUUUUUAUCAUUACUUUCAAUGGCAUAAUAGAAUGGGACUCUAUUUGCUGCCAGAUUGGGAAUUCUAAGGGUAUAAAUAUGUAUUAAUAAAUAUUAUGACCUUUAAAAUUUUAAAACAAAUGCAAAACCUGCAGCAUUUUUCGGGAAUUGAUUCUCUGUACAUAAAAAUGAGAUUAGUCAAUCCUUUUGGUGUCUGUUUAGCAUACAAUGAGUACAUCCAGAUAGUUAAGACCCUUGGAAUCAAGAUUAAGAGAACCAUCAAUUAAGGAGGCAGUGCGCACCUCUCCAGGGAAAUUUACUCCAGUGCUUCAUCCUACCUCAUUGGACACAGCCGACCGUGUUGGUCCUGGUUCCCUCUUCAAAUGCUGGCUCCUGGAAAUAGCAUCAAAGCAAGCAGCUGAUAAGACAAAACUGGGUUGUUGCUUAUGCUAAGGGGAAGCACCACCUUGAAAGAGUCAUUGUAGAGUGGAGGUCGGGAGGGCAAAGUUGAGAUACUGAGGUUUUGGGGUUUGGUUUAAGGCAGGUCCUUUGAUGUCGGACUUAAUCAGGGCUGGGUAAGGAUCAUGUUAUAAUAGUUUAGGAUUGUUGGUCACAGUUUUGUAUUGGUGGUCACAGUGAAGUGAGGGCUUCAAAGACUCUUGGAGCUUUCUUUGAUGCUCCCUGUUGAAGAGCUGUGUGGUUUUAUUAAUGGAUUUUCCUGAACUCAAGGAGUAAGGUUAUUUGCAACUUUUGUGUUUCUGGGCAAGCAUUUCCUGGAAUAAUAAAGUCACAAUAAUAGAGUCAUGUUAUUUUGCUUCAGCAAUUGUGAGUCGGAGUACUCUGCUAUUUGUAUCCAGAGGCACCCUGUUAUGGUUUCCUUGUGUGUAAAAUGGGGA
rnacentral:lncRNA from 10 species